rnacentral:antisense_RNA from 1 species
GUUUCAGGAGCGUGGCUAUGGAGUCCGGCGUGGCAGCGGCAAUUCCUGGCCAAAGUGUGCCUUCACCAAAAGCAGAACUGGAAACAUCCUAAGUGGGCUGGUAACGAGGCUAGCUCUGUCAACUAGUUCAAGACCCCUGAGAGCUUUGGGCCUGAGGUUCCUCAGCUUCCAAGUGAAAGGCUUCGACUUGGCAUUCUGGGAGACAAUCUCUGUGACCAUCAGUUUCCUCAUCUGGAAAACUGGCAUCAUGAUAACUUUGAAGGUUUUAUUCUGGGCAUAUAUAUGUUUGGAGGUGUGUGUAUGUUUGGGGAACCUUUGAAUUUGGAAGUACCAAGAGACAAAACCUUGCUGUGUUGCCCAGGCUGGUAUCGAACUCCUGGCCUCAAGAAGAUCCUCCCACCUCGACCUCUCAAAGUGUUGGUAUUACAGACGUGAGCCACUGCGCCCUGCUGUGUUCUGUUCUUAUUGCCCAUGACAAUUAAAGUUAGCUCUAUCUCAUCUCCG